rnacentral:tRNA from 2 species
GGGUCUGUAGCUCAGGUGGUUAGAGCGCACCCCUGAUAAGGGUGAGGUCGGUGGUUCAAGUCCACUCAGACCCACCACUC